CACAAACUCCAAUACCCAUUAUCCCCAACCUUUAGAAAACCCCUCCAACACACAUAGCCGCUGUAUAAUAGAAAUCAACCCCUAACCCCUUUGAGACUCCAAAAGUCAAAAAGCAAAAGGACAGCUGACUGACAGAGGGGGAUUAGUCACAACGAAUCACAUGCUUGCGCGGACACACAUACACACCGCGCACACAAACCCACCACGCCUGUCUCACCCUGCCUGACACACAGUUCCUUCUUCUGAUGGAGAAUUAAGAUAAUGUCUCUUCUGCGAUCCCCUGCGUCCACAUCAAGUCCAGAAAAUGUCCUUUUGACAUCCACACACUAAAAUAAUGUUACUGCAGCAAUAAACGGGCCAAUAAAAAGAUGCACAGCCCCAUCCGUACUCAUACAUAUACAUAAGGUGUCUGUCUGCAGGUAAAUCUAACUCAGAGAGUCUGGCAGGAUGCAGACAGCGUGGACGAGAAGUCUCCUUCAAGGCAGCAGUAACCUGGGAGACUGAGCGGAGAAGAGACACUCCAGAAAGAAAGAAAGACAGAAGCAGAUUAAUAAGCAGACAAGAAAGAAUGCCCUUUUUUUGUUUGUUUUUUCCCCCAAAUAGCUAGAGCACAGAGGAUUCACACAACGAGCUAUAUUAAAAAAAAAAAAGAUAGAAAAAGAAGAAAAAAGAGAAAGAUCAAUGAUGAAGCACAACAUCUGGGACAAAUACUUCCCCUGUGCUUCAGUCUGUCUCUCCUGGGCUCAUUCACUCCAUUUGGCAAAAAUGCUGUGGCAACACAAGGGCCACGGAUCCAUCAAAAAUGGGUAAUGCUUACAGUAAUUAUCAUAAAACACACAUACACACACACACACACAAGAGAGAUGGUGGAAACUGAAUAUUUAUGGAGAAAAGUUCAGCGACAGCUUCUGCUUUGUCUUUUUAUUUCCUGCUCAGACAUUGUCACAAGUAUUGGUCUAGAUGAAUACUCAACACACAGAUGGUUUCAUUAUUAAUAAUCACACAAAGUAAACAGAUGCAAAUAGACAUGCAUUUGUGUACACAACGAUGCAUUAGGAGCAAGAAAACAACAACAACAACAAAAUAGAUUUGACUUAUCAAUAAAAUAGACUUCUAUUUUUCCAAGUGGGAGAGUGUGGAGAAGGGUCCAAGGGACAGAGGUGACUGGUUUCUUGAGGCAGUGCUGGUUAACCAUUAUCCCUUUUUAGAGGGCCAAGCUCAGGCCGUCUGAUCCCUGCUGGUACCUGAUGUUUCUCCAAAAUGUAGGACAGUGUCACUGCUCCUCUGUUACACACUCACAGGAGAGAAAGACACAGGGUAAAAGAGGUGCUGAAGAGGUAAGUAUUGAAGGGAAAAGGUGUUUUUCUCUGAAGGUGCUGUGCUCGGUGCCUCUAAUCUGGUUCCUUUCUGGGUUGGUUCUCUAUUGGGUUUUUGAGGGUGUGUUUCUCGGUGCUGACUCAUCCCCCUCUUCCUCCACUCUGGUUUAGUCUGUCAGUCGCUCAAUAAUCAGAAAUCCCCCCACAAUAAACUCUUCAUUGCUCCUUCUCUCUCGCCCUCUCUUCUUUAUCCCCCAGUCUUCAACUUGUUCUGGAGACGAAAACAGAAAAGAAAAGAGCAUUAGAGAUGGAAAAGUCAAACAAAAGUAUCAAAAAGAGAAAAAAAAACAACAGAAGAAAAUAUUAUUUCGCACACGAGAGAUGAGACAACGGGAGGAGGGCCUGAGAGUACAAUAAAGGACAAGAGGAUGAAGUGAGGUUGAGAAGCAGAGAAAGGACCCAAGGGCACUGGAUUCCAUGUUAGUGAUAAGUGCAACCACAAAUCCCCAGUACUCCCUGUCAAUAACCAUUUGAACCGGCCUAUUGCUGCAGAUGCCACUGGAUGAAAUCUGCCCAAGAGAAGACGAGUAAGGAGGGGGGAGGAAGAAGAAACAAGGGACUUAAGAGGGGAAUCAAGUAGACAGAACAAAACAAAGAAAAUAUAUUUUCUUCCUCACUGACUAACUUAAUAACUGUUGUGGAUCCAUGGUUGUGUGUCCCAAAAGAAUCCCAGUUUAUUUUCCACACUAUCGAUCUAACCAUAAAAUGAUUACCGAUAAAAGAAGCUGCUUCUAGCACGCCUGCUUGGCUGCAUCAUCCAUGUUACGACAAAAAGCAGAAAACAACCACACGAUGGUUCCAGUUUAUUACAACUUACGUUCUGAAACAAAGCAAAUGAUCUUUAACAGGGCUGUCAAAAUUGAGAGCAAACAAAACAACUGCUGUGUAAUGCCCUCCGCUAUCUUAGGUUAAUUGGUCACAUGACUGCAUCACAUGACUAAAAUGUGUCAUUGUUUUUGAAAAGGGUUCGCUGGCCAUACUGCGACGCCAAAACUGCGUUUUUAAAUGUAUCCACUUUGGAGAGCGUUUUCAAAACGCUGUUUUCCUUGACCGAAAACGCAGUCUCAGUGUGGACGGAAGGCCAAAAUGGAGAGAAAAAGAAACAAAAACCUAUUAGUGUGGACAUGGCCUUAAUCUUUGCAGUGCCGUUGUCACAGAUGUGUAAAAUCAA
ensembl:lncRNA